AGCAGCCGCGGUAAUUCCAGCUCCAAUAGCGUAUAUUAAAGUUGUUGCAGUUAAAAAGCUCGUAGUUGAAUUUCGGGGUUAGUAGGUUGGUCAUGCCUCUGGUAUGUACUGGUCUCACUGAUUCCUCCUUCCUGAUGAACCUUAAUGCCAUUAAUUUGGUGUUUUGGGGAAUUUGGACUGUUACUUUGAAAAAAUUAGAGUGUUUAAAGCAAGCUAACGCUUGAAUACAUUAGCAUGGAAUAAUGAAAUAGGACGUUCGAUCCUAUUUUGUUGGUUUCUAGGAUUGACGCAAUGAUUAAUAGGGAUAGUUGGGGGCAUUAGUAUUCAAUUGCCAGAGGUGAGAUUCUUGGAUUUAUUGAAGACUAACUACUGCGAAAGCAUUUGCCAAGGAUGUUUUCAUUAAUCAAGAACGAAAGUUAGGGGAUCGAAGACGAUCAGGUACCGUCGUAGUCUUAACCAUGAACUAUGCCGACUAGGGAUCGGAUGAUGUUAAUUUUUUAAUGACUCA
rnacentral:rRNA from 1 species